rnacentral:rRNA from 1 species
GGAUUAGAUACCCUGGUAGUCCACGCUGUAAACGAUGGAUACUAGGUGUAGGGGGUGUCGACUCCCCCUGUGCCGCAGUUAACGCAAUAAGUAUCCCACCUGGGGAGUACGACCGCAAGGUUGAAACUCAAAGGAAUUGACGGGGGCCCGCACAAGCAGUGGAGUAUGUGGUUUAAUUCGAAGCAACGCGAAGAACCUUACCAGGGCUUGACAUACCGAUGACCGGUCUGGAAACAGACCUUUCCUUCGGGACAUCGGAUACAGGUGGUGCAUGGUUGUCGUCAGCUCGUGUCGUGAGAUGUUGGGUUAAGUCCCGCAACGAGCGCAACCCCUGCCCCUUGUUGCCAUCAUUAAGUUGGGAACUCUAGGGGGACUGUCGGUGUCAAACCGGAGGAAGGUGGGGAUGACGUCAAGUCCUCAUGGCCCUUGAUGGCCAGGGCUACACACGUACUACAAUGGUCAGUACAAAGCGUCGCCAACCCGUGAGGGGGAGCUAAUCGCAAAAAUCUGACCUCAGUUCGGAUUGAAGGCUGCAAUUCGCCUUCAUGAAGUUGGAAUCGCUAGUAAUCGCGGAUCAGCAAGCCGCGGUGAAUACGUUCUCGGGCCUUGUACACACCGCCCGUCACACCACGAAAGCUCAUUGGACCAGAAGUUGUGAGGUCUUCUUGCACCCAAGGUCUGGUGGGCGAUUGGGGUGAAGUCGUAACAAGGUAGCCGU